UGAUGUGCUAGUGUUUAUUUUUUACAAAAAGUUCUAAGUAACCUGUAAAUUCCAAAACACCUCGUGCUGAGUCACUAAAGUCGAGCGCACCCUAAAAGGUGUACUUGAUUUUGGCCAUAUUUAUACUUGUCUUAACCAAUAACUACAUUUAUAAACUUGUUUAAAGGAAAUCAAUGCUAGCACUGCAUGCAAUAAUCCUAUAUCUAUCAGUCAUCAAAUUGCCAAAUAUGAGAGUACAAGGAUAAAGGCUGUGGAUUUUCUAUAAAAAUCUUGAUUUAUUUGCCACAAAGUCCUCUUUUUCUAUUAAAUGCAAUGGAACAGUAAAAAAUAAUGCUUUGCAUCAAGUUUCCCCUUGGAAUAUGUACAAAAUGGCCUAUCUCUAUUAUUCAUAAUAUCUGUAGUUUUG
rnacentral:lncRNA from 1 species